GUUCCGUGAUGAUCACCCCAUGCGUGUCAUCUGACCCCAUGCCCCAACUUUCCCUUCCGGCCAGCGUUCUGCUGGGCAGGUGGAGGAAUCCUGGGGACCAGGGGGAAGUGAUCAUACCUGAAC